rnacentral:rRNA from 1 species
AUUGAACGCUGGCGGCAGGCUUAACACAUGCAAGUCGAGCGGAGAUGAGGUGCUUGCACCUUAUCUUAGCGGCGGACGGGUGAGUAAUGCUUAGGAAUCUGCCUAUUAGUGGGGGACAACAUUCCGAAAGGAAUGCUAAUACCGCAUACGCCCUACGGGGGAAAGCAGGGGAUCUUCGGACCUUGCGCUAAUAGAUGAGCCUAAGUCGGAUUAGCUAGUUGGUGGGGUAAAGGCCUACCAAGGCGACGAUCUGUAGCGGGUCUGAGAGGAUGAUCCGCCACACUGGGACUGGGACACGGCCCAGACUCCUACGGGAGGCAGCAGUGGGGAAUGUUGGACAAUGGGCGGAAGCCUGAUCCAGCCAUGCCGCGUGUGUGAAGAAGGCCUUUUGGUUGUAAAGCACUUUAAGCGAGGAGGAGGCUACCUGGAUUAAUACUCUAGGAUAGUGGACGUUACUCGCAGAAUAAGCACCGGCUAACUCUGUGCCAGCCGCCGCCGUAAAAC